rnacentral:tRNA from 1 species
UGGGUUGUGGCUCAGUGGUAGAGCACAUACCUAGCAUAUUUGAGGCCCUGGGUUUGAUCCCCAAGACUGAA